rnacentral:lncRNA from 1 species
AACCCCAUGAAGAACCUCAACCACCCCACCUGUGCUGCACCACCUCGACCUCGUCCAGCUCCUCGGGCACCUCCAUCCUCUCCAGCCACUGCUCCUUCUCGUCCACCCACACCUCGCAGGCGUGCACCUCGCUGAACAUGCGGUAGACGGCCAGCGCGUCCCGCAGCCACUGCGUCCUCAGCACGGCCACCUCGGCCACCUCUCCGUAGAGCUGCUCCACCUCCACCACGCGGAUCUGGAUGUCCACGCCCUGGCGGCGCUCGGGCGCCAGCAGCGCCAGCUGCGCCCGCAGCCCCAGCACGGCUCCGCGCUGCUUCUCCACCUGCUCCAGCAGAGCUCCGUGCUGCCGCAGCAGCGCCCGGCUCGAGUGCUCGUCGUGGCCGAAGUCGUCGCUGGACACCACGCGGUAGAUGUCCUGCAGCCACGCCACCAGGUCGUCCGUGUCGGCGCUGAACUGGAAGAAGUUCAGCGCGUCCUCCAAGCGCUGCUGGUGGAGCCCCGUGAUCUCCUCCAGCUUCUUCCACCGCAGGCAGACCUCGCGCAUCUUCUCCUGGAUGCCCGCGGAGCCCAAGGACUUCUUGGCCAGGAUCUUCUCGCCUUUCUUCAUGGUCUGGUGGAGCAGAGCGCGGCGGUUGCCCAGCUCGCCCAGCAUGGUCUUGUGCUUGGUGGUCAAGGUGAGGACGCUGCUGAGGUCGCGGCCGCAGCUCCUGGUGGCCAGGAUCUUCUCCUUCUCGCGGAUCCAGGCCUCGGCCUCCUCCAUCUCCUGGAAGAAGGUCCAGAGGUGCCGCGAGUCCUCCAGCUCCUUCCUGCGCUUGGCCGCCAGCUCGCGCAGCUCCUCCAGGCACGCCUGCACGUGGUGGACGCGGUUGCAGAUGAUCUGCGGGUCGCACGGUUGGUAGCCUGGGCCAGGAGAAGACACUCAGGAGGUGGCCAAGGGUCACCGGGCACGGAGGUGUCCGAGGAAGGACCGGACACGACGCUCCGGGCUCUGCUCUGGGCUGGACUCGGAGAUC